GCCAGGCAUGGUGGCGCAUGUCUGUAAUCCCAGCUACUCGGGAGGCUGAGACAGGAGAAUUGCUUGAACCCAGGAGUCGGAGGUUGCAGCGAGCCAAGCUCGUGCCACUGCACUCCAGCCUGGGCAACAGAGCGAGACUCUGUCUCAA
rnacentral:SRP_RNA from 1 species